UACGGAAGGUGCAAGCGUUGUUCGGAUUGAUUGGGCGUAAAGGGCGCGUAGGCGGGUUGGUAAGUCGAUUGUGAAAUCCCUGGGCUUAACCUAGGAAUUGCAGUCGAAACUAUCGAUCUUGAAUGCUUGAGAGGUUAGUGGAAUUCCAGGUGUAGGAGUGAAAUCCGUAGAUAUCUGGAGGAACACCGGAGGCGAAGGCGGCUAACUGGCAAUGCAUUGACGCUGAGGCGCGAAAGCGUGGGUAGCAAACAGG
rnacentral:rRNA from 1 species